rnacentral:rRNA from 1 species
AUGAAGCGAGAAGUCGACGCGCCGAUUUUCGGCGUCCGGCCCUCCGCAAGCGCCCGCGGGAGUUUGGGUUCCGGACCUGGUCCGAUCCCGUUCCCUCCGUGGGGCUGUUUGCGAAAAGGAGGUGUCCUCGGACGGCGUCGUUUGUCUCCAGUCCGCGACGCUACGGCUUGGAUGGCCUACCCGACCCGUCUUGAAACACGGACCAAGGAGUCUAACAUGCGCGCGAGUCGUUGGGUCGGACGCGCUCCGCUAAACCCAUAGGCGAAAUGAAAGUGAAGGCCCCUUUUGGGUGCCGAGGGAGGACGGAGCCGCUCCCCUCGCGGGACGGCUCCCGCACUCCCGGGGCGUCUGAUUCCUCAUUGCGAGGGAAGGCGCACCCAGAGCGCACACGUUGGGACCCGAAAGAUGGUGAACUAUGCCUGGCCAGGACGAAGUCAGGGGAAACCCUGAUGGAGGUCCGUAGCGAUUCUGACGUGCAAAUCGAUCGUCGGAGCUGGGGAUAGGGGCGAAAGACUAAUCGAACCAUCUAGUAGCUGGUUCCCUCCGAAGUUUCCCUCAGGAUAGCUUGCGCUCGGAGGAGAGUCUCAUCCGGUAAAGCGAAUGAUUAGAGGCCUUGGGGCCGAAACGGCUUCAACCUAUUCUCAAACUUUAAAUGGGUGAGAACUCCGGCUUGCUCGAUCACUUAAAUGAAGCCGGAGUCGGGGCCACGAGCCCUCAGGAUCGGAGUGCAUAGUGGGCCACUUUUGGUAAGCAGAACUGGCGCUGUGGGAUGAACCAAACGACGGGUUAAGGCGCCCGAAUCGACGCUCAUGGGAAACCAUGAAAGGUGUUGGUUGCUUAAGACAGCAGGACGGUGGCCAUGGAAGUCGGAAUCCGCUAAGGAGUGUGUAACAACUCACCUGCCGAAGCAACUAGCCCUGAAAAUGGAUGGCGCUGAAGCGUCGUGCCUAUACCCGGCCGUCGCCGCAGGGCGGGCCCCGUGAGGGGUGCCGCUUGACGCGGCGACGAGUAGGAGGGUCGCGGCGGCGUGCGCAGAAGGGUCUGGGCUCGAGCCUACCUGGAGCCGCCGCCGGUGCAGAUCUUGGUGGUAGUAGCAAAUACUCCAGCGAGGCCCUGGAGGACUGAUGUGGAGAAGGGUUUCGUGUGAACAGCCGUUGCACACGAGUCAGUCGAUCCUAAGCCCUAGGAGAAAUCCGAUACCAACGGCGAUGGGACGAAAGAACGAAAGAAAACAGCCCAUUGAUCGGGCGAAAGGGAAUCCGGUUCCUAUUCCGGAACCCGGCAGCGGAACCGCUGUUUGUCGGGCCCUCACAAGGGGUUCGUCAGGGUAACCUAAAAGGGCCCGGAGACGCCGUCGGGAGCCCCGGAAAGAGUUUUCUUUUCUGCAUGAGCGUUCGAGUUCCCUG